AUGACCAUGUUGUUUCCUGGAGUCCUUUCUCAUGAUGAUGUCGCUAUUAUUCAUCCCACAGUUUAUGCAGUGGAGCGUCAAAGACCUCAGUGUGUUACAGGAGAAGACCAUGAAGAUCGGCAAGAAAGAUGUGUCAUACAUGUUGAUCAAGGAAGGUGCGGCACUGUGAUGUGCGUUGAAACACAAGCAUGGCCUGCAAUCGACGCCCACCAUCCAUGUGCCUUGCAAGCAGCAAUUUUUCACAUUCUUGAUGAUAUUUGUCAGUGCCCUCUUCUCAUCUAUCUCGACAAUCUCGGUAUCCAGGCAAGGUAUGUCUAUGUCAGUUGA
rnacentral:rRNA from 1 species